rnacentral:tRNA from 1 species
GCCCCAGUAGCUCAGCCUGGUUAGAGCGCCUCCUUGGUAUGGAGGAGGCCGUGGGUUCGAAGCCCACCUGGGGCU